CCUUUGCCUCGUCUUCCUUCAGG
rnacentral:miRNA from 1 species